CUAGCCCUGCGAUGUUAGUACUUCAUAUUGUCUUAAACCGAUACUGAUUUUUUGGGAGUUCAACAUUCUAAUCCUGACAACAAGCCCUGCAAGCUGGGGGAAGUUGGAUCGUUUAGAGAGGACACCCACCUACGAGAGUAGGUUUUUAAGACACUAGGAGGUACGGCAGAGUGGGACACCA
rnacentral:other from 1 species